rnacentral:tRNA from 1 species
GGAGGGUAUAGCUCAGUGGUAGAGCAUAUGCUUAGCAUGCACAAGGUCCUGGGUUCAAUCCCCAGUACCUCCA